CCUAGGGGAGGCAGCAGUGGGGAAUAUUGCACAAUGGGGGAAACCCUGAUGCAGCAACGCCGCGUGAGUGAUGACGGUCUUCGGAUUGUAAAGCUCUGUCUUCAGGGACGAUAAUGACGGUACCUGAGGAGGAAGCCACGGCUAACUACGUGCCAGCAGCCGCGGUAAU
rnacentral:rRNA from 1 species